CUACACUUACUCUGCUUUGAUCUGUUCCAUAUUCCUAAUCUGUUCUUUUUUGAUCUUUUUCUCCUAAAAUUCAUAAGGCCAUAAACAAACCAGUGGUAUGCUCAAGUACACCACUGAUUGGGAGGCUAGUAGCAGAUUAAGUACACAAAGCUGAAGAGGAUUGAAAUGGAAAAAUCAAUCAAAGUAUUGAUUAUUUCUUUGUGUAUCUGCCCCUGGCCAAAUCAAUGAAACAAUGCGUGCACACUCCCUGAAGUAAUUCACACCAGACACAGGUUCCAGGUUGUUGAAUAAUUUGAGGAAAGUUUAUUCAGAGGGGACAGCAGGUCCCUUUUAAAGCAAAAUUACAUCAUAAUCAUUGUCAGAGAUAACAUGGAAUAAUACAUCAAUAAUUG